CCCUGACUAUCCCUUUUGAGAAGCUAUUUUUUCGUGGCUUGGUUUUUUUUGUUGUUGUUGUUGGUUUUUUGUUUUUUACAGGCCACCCUUGCUGGAAAAUUUUAAAUACUUGCCCAGUUAGGGCCAAGAGAUGAGAAUUAGAUAGAUAAGAGAUGAGAAUUAGAAGUCCCUGUUUCUGCCAGUCGGUAAGGGUCACUGGGCACAGAUGAAGGAUGGAUGGAGCUCAGCCCCUCAACUCAUAAUUAGGCUGUUGUGGAUGAUCCCCUUCUUCAAGCCAGGCACACGAGAUGGACUGGAUGUAGUUAUGAAACUUGCCCUGUCAGGAAGCCAGAGUGUUUCUGGGGGUCCCAGAUGGGUAAGAGAAGCAUAACCAGAUGGCCUGGAGGGCUUCAGACGGUGAAAAAAUGAAUUUUAGCAGGAAGAGCAUUCACAUCCUCUGAAUGCUUUAUCAAAGAUGGAGAAAUGGAGGCAGAAAGAGGUGACAUUAUUUGACUACCAACCAGUGGCAGAGAAUGCACUAAAAUCCAGUUCCUUGACUCCCAACUUGUUGCUCAUCUACAUGAUCCCUGAUGAGGACCCAAUUUAUAGCAGUUGGGAUAAAGUGGGCUCCCUAGAGGCUUUUUACUGCUACCACCCAAAGUGUCCCCCAGAAUCCAAAACCUUGGUACUAUAACUUUCCUGUGGCCAUCUACAGGAGAUACUUGAUUGUUUCAGUCUACUCUUUUCUUCCUUGUUCUUCUCUAAACUGAACCCUUUCCUUUGGGGACCCACUCACUGUGUUCACACUAUGGUGGACACACUGUAUGGGCUGGCCAGUUAGGGUACCCCUCCUCCCUGAGCACAGAGCUUAGUCAGGUAGUGGGCAUGGGACCGAAACAGAGCCACUAAGAAUUGUCUUUGUGAUCUCUUCUCUUGUGAUAGCACAAGCUGUGAAGAUGUAGAUUUUGAGCUGCAAGGGGCUAUUUUUCCCAUCAGUUGAAGAGAAUUGGCCUGAAAACAGGCCAACACACUAUGCUCAAUAAAUGUUAUCCGUUAUAAUAACCACACUUCUCUUUGGUGGGAAAUGUCAGGUCUCUGCAGAUUUGUAGCAAAAACAAUACCCCUCCUGCCCCCAAAA